rnacentral:rRNA from 1 species
AACGAACGCUGGCGGCAUGCCUAACACAUGCAAGUCGAACGAGACCUUCGGGUCUAGUGGCGCACGGGUGCGUAACGCGUGGGAACCUGCCCUUAGGUUCGGAAUAACUCCCCGAAAGGGGUGCUAAUACCGGAUAAUGUCUUCGGACCAAAGAUUUAUCGCCUUUGGAUGGGCCCGCGUUGGAUUAGCUAGUUGGUAGGGUAAAAGCCUACCAAGGCGACGAUCCAUAGCUGGUCUGAGAGGAUGAUCAGCCACACUGGGACUGAGACACGGCCCAGACUCCUCCGGGAGGCAGCAGUGGGGAAUAUUGGACACUGGGCGAAAGCCUGAUCCAGCAAUGCCGCGUGAGUGAUGAAGCCCUUAGGGUUGUAAAGCUCUUUUACCCGGGAUGAUAAUGACAGUACCGGGAGAAUAAGCUCCGGCUAACUCCGUG